rnacentral:tRNA from 1 species
CGUGCCAUGGCCGAAUUGGUCAAGGCAUCGACGAUUAUAGGCUAAGAUGCGGGUUCAAGUCCCGCUGGAACGG